GUUGAACGCUGGCGGCAUGCCUUACACAUGCAAGUCGAGCGGUAACAGGUCUUCGGAUGCUGACGAGUGGCGAACGGGUGAGUAAUACAUCGGAACGUGCCUAGUAGUGGGGGAUAACUACUCGAAAGAGUGGCUAAUACCGCAUGAGAUCUACGGAUGAAAGCAGGGGAUCGCAAGACCUUGUGCUACUAGAGCGGCCGAUGGCAGAUCAGGUAGUUGGUGUGAUAAAAGCUUAUCAAGCCGACGAUCUGUAGCUGGCCUGAGAGGACGAUCAGCCACACUGGGACUGAGACACGGCCCAGACUCCUACGGGAGGCAGCAGUGGGGAAUUUGGACAAUGGGCGCAAGCCUGAUCCAGCAAUGCCGCGUGCAGGAUGAAGGCCUUCGGGUUGUAAACUGCUUUUGUACGGAACGAAAAGCCCCGGGUUAAUACCCUGGGGUCAUGACGGUACCGUAAGAAUAAGCACCGGCUAACUACGUGCCAGCCGCCGCCGUAA
rnacentral:rRNA from 1 species